rnacentral:rRNA from 1 species
GACGAACGCUGGCGGCGUGCCUAAUACAUGCAAGUUGAGCGCUGAAGGUUGGUACUUGUCCCAACUGGCUGAGCAGCGAACGGGUGAGUAACGCGUGGGGAAUCUGCCUUUGAGCGGGGGACAACAUUUGGAAACGAAUGCUAAUACCGCAUAAAAACUUUAAACACAAGUUUUAAGUUUGAAAGAUGCAAUUGCAUCACUCAAAGAUGAUCCCGCGUUGUAUUAGCUAGUUGGUGAGGUAAAGGCUCACCAAGGCGAUGAUACAUAGCCGACCUGAGAGGGUGGUCGGCCACAUUGGGACUGAGACACGGCCCAAACUCCUACGGGAGGCAGCAGUAGGGAAUCUUCGGCCAUGGACGAAAGUCUGACCGAGCAACGCCGCGUGAGUGAAGAAGGUUUUCGGAUCGUAAAACUCUGUUGGUAGAGAAGAACGUUGGUGAGAGUGGAAAGCUCAUCAAGUGACGGUAACUACCCAGAAAGGGACGGCUAACUACGUG